GCCGGCCAUGGCUUGAGCCUCUGAGAGGGUGGCGACGUCUGGCCAUGGGGCUGGGUCGGGUCCUGCUGUUUCUGGCCAUCGCCUUCCCUUUGACACUCCUGGGAGCCGCCGCUGAGCCUCACAGUCUUCGUUAUAACCUCACAGUGCUGUCCCGGGAUGGAUCUGUGCAAUCAGGGUUUCUUGCUGUGGGAUAUCUGGAUGGUCAACUCUUCCUGCUCUGUGACAGGCAGAAAUGCCCAGCAGGGCCCCAGGGACAGUGGGAAGAAGCAGUCCGGAGAGCUGAGCCCUGGCACACAGAGAUCGAGGACUUGAUAGAGAAUGAGAAGAACCUCAAGAUGACCCUGGCUCAUAUUAAGGGGAAGAAAGGAGCCUUGUAUUCCCUCCAGGAGAUUAGACUCUGUGAGAUCAAUGAAGAUGGUAGCACCAAGGGCGUCCGGCGUUUCUACUAUGAUGGGGAGCUCUUCCUCUCCCAAAACCUGGACACUCAGGAAUGGACAGUGCAUGAGUCCUCCAGAGCUCAGAUCUUGUCUAUAAACAUCAUGAAUGUCUUGAAGGAAAAUGUAAAGAAAGCUGGCACUGUGCGGGCAGACUGCCGGCAGAAACUGCAGGGAUAUCUGGAAUCCCUGGUGUGCGUCGGGAGAACAGUGCCCCCCAUGGUGAAUGUCACCCGCAGUGAGGAUUCAGAGGGCAACAUCAACGUGACAUGCUGGGCUUCCGGCUUCUAUCCCCCAAAUAUCACACUGACCUGGCGUCAGCAUGGGGUAUCUUUGAGCCACAACGACCAGCAGUCGGAGGGUGUCCUGCCUGAUGGGAAUGGAACCUACCAGAUCUGGGUGACCAUCAGUAUUCGCCAAGGAGAGGAGCAGAGGUUCACCUGCUACAUGGAACACAGCGGGAAUCACAGCACUCACCCUGUCCCCCCUGGGAAGGUGCUGGUGCUUGAGAGUCAACGGACAGCCAGUCCACAUGUUCCUGCUGCUGCUGCUCCUGCUCCUGCUCCUGCUAUUAUUGCUGGUAUUAUUGCUGUUGCCAUUAUUGUUUUUAGUAUUGUUCACUGCAUCCAUCAUUGCAAGAAGAAGAGAACAUCACCUGCAGAGGGUCCAGAGCUCAUGAGCCUGCAGGUCCUGGAUCAACACGUGGUUGGGACAGGAGACCACAGGGAUGCCGCACAGCUGGGAUUUCAGCCUCUGAUAUCAGCUCCUGGGCCCACUGGCUCCACUCAGGGCACCGAGACUCUGCAGCCAGGCGGCUAGGACUCAGCUCCCUGUCUGGAUCUCACCAGCACUUUCCAUCUUGGUGCCUCAGUUCCCUGGCCUAUGUAGCAGAGAACAUAAGAAUGGUGUCAUCUUCACCUCUGGAGAGAUCUCUGUCACUGUGUUCAGGGAAAGGACCAGCCUCACUCCCCAUGCAGAGAGGAGGCUCUGGCUGUGAUCCGGCCUGUGGAGGGAUGAGGACCCGCUCCCUCUACAAUGAUGGCCAAGAACCUGCAGGUGACAGGGCAGCUUCCGCUCAAGUGUGUCCUAUCAGGUUCUUCCAGGCAUCACAGAAUAGACCAGGGACAUUGCCUCCAGUGACAUGACCACACCCAGAAGUGAGGUGGCCCUGCCAGGGGGUCCUGGGGCUGCCACGUCUUUUGGGAUCUCAGUGUCUGGAGAGGGGUAUGGAGAGCAGGCUUUGUGCAAAACAUAACCGUGACCUCUAAAUUAUUUUAUGCUCCAUUAGCUUUUUUGUCAUAAAAUACAACAGGUACCAAAAAGAAAACCUGUCUGAAAAUGUUGCCCUUUAAUAAAAGGUAAACAUGCUUUAACCACCAGAGAGUUUGUCAGCCAGCCCAGGAAACCCCCAUCAUCUGCCCCAGCUCAGUGAUAAACUCUUUCCUCCCACACAUAAAAUCACAGCCUGACUUUUAUGAUCAUCACUUCUCUGCUCUUUUUUACAUUUUCAUCAUCUAAAAUUGUAGUUUAGUUUUACCUUGGCGUAUUUUUUAGUGUUCUUUUUUUUCUAUAUGUUCCUCCUUGAAAUUUAUAUUGUCUGGUUGAGUUUUUCAUAGUUUGCAUUUUGCCGGCUGCACCCCAAGGAGUAGUUUAAUAUGCACCUUUUUAAUCUGUGCUUUCUAUAAAUUGCUAGUUGGUUGCAGAGAUUUGCUUAUACGCAGGCUUUAUUUUUUUUCUUGAGUACUUAAGUUCGUUUAUGGUAUUGCAUUGUAUUCUUACAUUAGAAGGAAGA